rnacentral:rRNA from 1 species
UACGUAGGGUGCGAGCGUUAAUCGGAAUUACUGGGCGUAAAGCGUGCGCAGGUGGUUUGUUAAGUCAGAUGUGAAAGCCCUGGGCUUAACCUAGGAAUUGCGUUUGAAACUGGCGAGCUAGAGUCUGUCAGAGGGGGGUAGAAUUCCAUGUGUAGCAGUGAAAUGCGUAGAGAUGUGGAGGAAUAUCGAUGGCGAAGGCAGCCCCCCUGGGAUAAGACUGACGCUCAUGCACGAAAGCGUGGGGGAGCAAACAGGAUUAGAUACCCUGGUAGUCCACGCCCUAAACGAUGUCGACUGGUUGUUGGGCAACUUGAUUGUUCAGUAACGAAGCUAACGCGAGAAGUCGACCGCCUGGGGAGUACGGUCGCAAGAUUAAAACUC